rnacentral:rRNA from 1 species
UCCGUAGGUGGAUAAUUAAGUCAGAGGUGAAAUCCUGCAGCUCAACUGUAGAAUUGCCUUUGAUACUGGUUAUCUUGAAUUAUUGUGAAGUGGUUAGAAUAUGUAGUGUAGCGGUGAAAUGCAUAGAUAUUACAUAGAAUACCAAUUGCGAAGGCUGAUCACUAACAAUAUAUUGACACUGAUGGACGAAAGCGUGGGGAGCGAACAGGAUUAGAUACCCUGGUAGUCC